rnacentral:rRNA from 1 species
UACGUAGGGAGCAAGCGUUGUUCGGAUUUACUGGCGUAAAGGGCGCGUAGGCGGCGCGGUAAGUCACUUGUGAAAUCUCUGAGCUUAACUCAGAACGGCCAAGUGAUACUGCAGUGCUAGAGUGCAGAAGGGGCAAUCGGAAUUCUUGGUGUAGCGGUGAAAUGCGUAGAUAUCAAGAGGAACACCUGAGGUGAAGACGGGUUGCUGGGCUGACACUGACGCUGAGGCGCGAAAGCCAGGGGAGCAAACGGG